AGAGUUUGAUCAUGGCUCAGAUUGAACGCUGGCGGCAGGCCUAACACAUGCAAGUCGAACGGUAACAGGAUUAGCUUGCUAAUCGCUGACGAGUGGCGGACGGGUGAGUAAUGCUUGGGAACUUGCCUUUGCGAGGGGGAUAACAGUUGGAAACGACUGCUAAUACCGCAUAAUGUCUUCGGACCAAACGGGGCUUCGGCUCCGGCGCAAAGAGAGGCCCAAGUGAGAUUAGCUAGUUGGUAAGGUAACGGCUUACCAAGGCGACGAUCUCUAGCUGUUCUGAGAGGAAGAUCAGCCACACUGGGACUGAGACACGGCCCAGACUCCUACGGGAGGCAGCAGUGGGGAAUAUUGCACAAUGGGGGAAACCCUGAUGCAGCCAUGCCGCGUGUGUGAAGAAGGCCUUCGGGUUGUAAAGCACUUUCAGUUGUGAGGAAAAGUUAGUAGUUAAUACCUGCUAGCCGUGACGUUAACAACAGAAGAAGCACCGGCUAACUCCGUGCCAGCAGCCGCGGUAAUACGGAGGGUGCGAGCGUUAAUCGGAAUUACUGGGCGUAAAGCGCACGCAGGCGGUUUGUUAAGCUAGAUGUGAAAGCCCCGGGCUCAACCUGGGAUGGUCAUUUAGAACUGGCAGACUAGAGUCUUGGAGAGGGGAGUGGAAUUCCAGGUGUAGCGGUGAAAUGCGUAGAUAUCUGGAGGAACAUCAGUGGCGAAGGCGACUCCCUGGCCAAAGACUGACGCUCAUGUGCGAAAGUGUGGGUAGCGAACAGGAUUAGAUACCCUGGUAGUCCACACCGUAAACGCUGUCUACUAGCUGUGUGUGCCUUUAAGGCGUGCGUAGCGAAGCUAACGCGCUAAGUAGACCGCCUGGGGAGUACGGCCGCAAGGUUAAAACUCAAAU
rnacentral:rRNA from 1 species